AGCGGCCUCCCUCCGCUUAAAACGUGAAGCCAAUCAUGACUUCAGAGUGAUUUAUUGCUUCGAUAGAGCACACAUGAGGUAACUCUGUUUACUUUAGGUUUUCCGCAACCAGUCAGGGGUUUCCCCUCUUUGAGUGUUUUAUUUCAUUGUAGGUAAAUAUCCACAAUACCAGCCAAAGGUUUGGGCACACGUUCUCAUUCAAUGUUUUUCUCCAUUUUCAUGAAACACUACUGCAGUGUUCUGAUGUCAUUUAAACCAUUAUGUAGGGCUAUUUACAGAUGGUUUUCAAUCUGUUUUAAUGGGUCAAGUACAAUAUGAAAGCAAUUCUUAAGAUUUGUUUUGAUUUAUCAUCAGCUAGGUUGCACUGACAUCAACCAAAUUGUGACUGAUGUGUUGUCUAUUAGAAAGUGCACCGUUUUGCCAUGAUUGAACCCGUGUCUGAUUGAAGUUAUGUGUGAUAAAACACUACUAUAUGACUCUAAAUGGAGUUUAAAACAAUCUCUAAGAAUUAUUUGCACUGUGAUGUGAUCCCAUGUAACAGGGUCAAUUAUACAUUAAUAUAUGUGUGUGUAUAUGGAAUACAGUAUAUUGUACUUUAGUUAUUGUGAUAAUUACACAAAAUCUGUGUCUGUGGAUUUGUUUUUGUUUGUUUUUGUUUCAGUUAAUGCCUGACUAGUUGAGCCUCCUUGUCAGUAAGCGGAACUUUGGUUCGGUUUGUAUUACUACAGCCACAUUCUAUGUAGCACUGCCCUCUAUAAGUGGCGUUUUCGCGCCGAUUUUCUCCCCUUUUGACAUGAAUCUCUGUGGGAGAGGUAAGCGGUUUUGCUAUCCGGUGAAAUUCCUGUUCUAGCAAGCUAAAACUUGUCACAUGAUGCUUACUUUGUUGUCAUUUGAUCUGUGUAGGGGCAUGUGUUGUGGCGAUCAAUGACGGGAGGAUUUUGUGUUAAUAUUUUCAUGUCAGGAGCCGGAAAAUAAAUGGAGACUGCCUCCAAAAAGAUGCACGCCUGAGUCUUGCCUAACACAACGCAGAGACAGAAACGAACCGGUCACACCCAUUCACUUCUUCUUUUCCUUUCGGCUUUUCCCUUCAGGGGUCACCACAGCGAAUCAGUUGCCUCCAUCUAACCCUGUCUUCUGCAUCCUCUUCUCUCUCACCAACUACCUUCAUGUCCUCUUUAACCACAUCCAUAAACCUCCUCUUCGGUCUUCCUCUAGGCCUCCUGCCUGGCAGUGGGAAACUCAGCAUCCUUCUUCCAAUAUAUUCACUGUCUCUCCUCUGGACAUGUCUGAACCAUCUCAGUCUGGCCUCUGACUUUAUCUCCAAAGCCUCUAACAUGUGCUGUCCCUCUGAUGUACUCAUUCCUGAUCCUAUGUGAUCCCAUUCACUGUUGUCUUAAAUGCAACACACCAAGUUUGACUGUUAUUCAUCCUGUUGGUUAUGUAGCAUGUUUUUAUUUCUCUUGUGGACAGAUUUCAAAUAUUCUUCCAAUAUUAGAUAAUUUGGUUAGCCAGAUUAAUGUAUUUUAUUUACAUUGUAGAUUUUCACUGAAGGCAUUGCACUUGGGGAUACAUUCAAAGUUUUUGCAAUUUUCCCGACUGAGUGACUUUCAGUUCUUAAAGUAAUGAUGGACUGUGGUUUCUCUUUACUUACCUGAUUAGUUCUUACUAUAAUAGUUGUCAGAUAGGGCUGCAAACUGUGUACCAGCCUGACUUCUGCACAAUACAACUGAUGGUCCCAACCUCAUUAAGAAGGCAAGAAAUUCCACAAAUUAACCGUGACAAGGCACAUCUGUGAAAUGAAAACCAUUUCAGGUGUCUACCUCAUGAAGCUCAUCAAGAUAAUGCCAAGAAAGUUCAAAGCAGAAUCUAAAAUAUACAACAUGUUCUGACUUUUUAGCUUACUACAUAAUUCCAGAUGUGUUCAUUCACAGUUUUGAUGCCUUCAGUGAGAUUCUACAAUGAAAACAGUCAUGAAAAUAAAGAAAAAACAUUCAGUGAGAAGGUAUGUCCAAACUUUUGACUAGUAGUGUAUAUAUGCAAAUUAAUAGAAAUGCAGUGCCUACUAGAAAAACAGCAAGAUAAGGCUGAAAUAAGACGAGAAUAGAAAAUUAUAAAGUAAUACUAGCAAUUAUUAUGAGUUGGUAGUAUUGUCAUAUAUUAAUUGCACACAAAAAUGAAAUAUUGAACAUGAGAUUAAAGUUUUACAAAAAAAAAUGAAAUGCUGCACAAGAAACUUAAAUAUCAUCAAAGUCAACUUUAUUGUUUAUUCUGUCAUAUGUACAGGACAAAGACAGGAUUAAAAUGUUGUUUCUCCCAGACUCCAGUCUGAACAUGCAAGGCACAGUAGAAAAAAUGUAAAAAGAUGAAGACAGUAAGAAACAAGCACUAAGACACAAAGAUGUAUACGUGCAAACACCAUACAUGGAAAUAUAAUACUGUACAUGAAAUUAAAAAUAUUGCACUAGAAAAUUAAGUACAUAUGAAUUAUGCAUUGAAGUGAAAACUGAUAUUGAUAUUAUUGUGCUUUUAGUGUCCAAUGUUUCAGCUGUCAUUACUGCAGAAAAGCUAGGUGUUUUUGCAGAUAUGAUCAUCAUCAUUGUUAAGAAUUCUUCAAGUUACUGUUUUGUAUUCGUGCUUUUAUUUUUGGAAGAGGCGCUCUUAUUGUUUGAUUGUGUAACCAGUUCCUUCCUGUUUCACGAGUGCAGCUGUCAACGUGUUCACCACAAACAUUGUGACGUUUUUUGUGGGCGGGGCUUAUGCUGGAGGCAAAAGCGGAGCGAGAAGUCAAGCGGGACUGGGAGUGUAUAGUUUGCGCUGCAAACUCGAUCAUUUUUAACCCGUAAAACUUCAGUGUACCGCCGGCGGUACACUUACUAAUUUGCAUAGGAAUUUAAAGAAUGUCCGAAGGCUGCAAACGCGAUUAUAUAAACAUUAUACGCCGAUGGCAAGCUUAGAUUCUCAUGAAUCCGCCGGUAUAAACCACUUUCAGAUGUGAUUACCACAGCGGGUAAUAUAAACACAUUUGUCCGACAAACAACGAAUAUCCAUCCAUCCUUUCUCUAUACACGGCUUCAACGUACACAGCGCGACUCACAUUUCCGGGUUCAUUAUUACACACAGAUGAAAACAUUCCACAAAAAACGGCCAUAAUCCAACCUUGGACAUCCAGACGACACAAGCCAGUAAACUAUUUUGUCCAAAACAUGUCUUGAAGUCGGUAUAAAAUCCACGAAUCGGUCGUUUUCAAGGAAAUGCACCUCGCGAUGCGCGUCCAAUAUUCCCUGUAUUUCUCGUCAUAUUUAACGGGUUAUUGUUUUUGAUUGUAUUUUUUUCUGUGUCUUGUUGUGUCCUUGUUCUUAUGGUGUGUGUAUUUGGACCCAGUGUCUGGAAUAAAGCUGAAUUGAAUUGAA